GGCAGUUUGGUCUUGUGGUGACAGACACCAGGCUAGAAACCAGGAGACUGUGAGUUCGAGUCCCUCUUUAGCUA
rnacentral:tRNA from 1 species